rnacentral:tRNA from 1 species
GCGGGUGUAGUUCAGCGGUAGAACGUCAGCUUCCCAAGCUGGAUGUCAGGGGUUCGACUCCCCUCACCCGCUCCA